CUCAAGCUCUGCUUGGAAUUGGGCACCGUCCUCACUGCGGACGCGCCUCAAAGACCUCGGCGGUGGCUGUUCAGCCCUCAAGCGUAGUAGAAUACACCUCGCUUUGGAGCGGUKGGCGUCGCCCGCCGGACGAACCUUCUGAACUUUUCUCAAGGUUGACCUCGGAUCAGGUAGGGAUACCCGCUGAACUUAAGCAUAUCAAUAAGCGGAGGAAAAGAAACCAACAGGGAUUGCCUUAGUAACGGCGAGUGAAGCGGCAACAGCUCAAAUUUGAAAGCUGGCCCUUUUAGGGUCCGCAUUGUAAUUUGUAGAGGAUGAUUCGGCGAGGGCUCCUGCCUAAGUCCCCUGGAACGGGGCGUCAUAGAGGGUGAGAAUCCCGUAUGCGGUAGGUUGCCUUAGCCAUGUGAAUCUCCUUCGACGAGUCGAGUUGUUUGGGAAUGCAGCUCUAAAUGGGAGGUAAAUUUCUUCUAAAGCUAAAUACCGGCCAGAGACCGAUAGCGCACAAGUAGAGUGAUCGAAAGAUGAAAAGCACUUUGGAAAGAGAGUUAAAAAGUACGUGAAAUU
rnacentral:rRNA from 1 species